UACGUAGGGUGCGAGCGUUGCCCGGAUUUAUUGGGCGUAAAGGGCGCGCAGGCGGCUACGCACGUCCGUUGUGAAAUCGCUCGGCUCAACUGGGCGGGGUCAGCGGAUACGGCGUAGCUGGAGCAAGCUAGGGGGCAAUGGAAUUCCCGGUGUAGUGGUGAAAUGCGCAGAUAUCAGGAAGAACACCCGUGGCUAAGGCGGUUCUCUAGUACGGUACUGACGCUGAGACGCGAAAGCGUGGGGAGCGAACAGG
rnacentral:rRNA from 1 species